GAGGUGUUCUCUGGGUGUCCUCUUUCGAUCCCUAGGACCCUGGAGUGCUCCUCACUCACUGUUGAGACAUUCCUCACUCACUCGCUGUCUCCAGUGAGUGUACUGGUAGGUGGGGUGGGGGAGGGCAGCUCAGCUCAGCUCACGCUUGGCAGCGAGCUUUCUCUCCCUCUUGUAGUGUGGAAGUGUUCAAACCCCAUACACCUUCAUUUCUGUGGGUUGCUGCAGAGUCCCUCCGAUCUUCCAAAGAUGAUUUUUAUUCUCUUUUGAGGUAGUCUAUUUUGUUCGGUAUUGGGGGAGAGGGCUUCCAUGUCUAGAUUGCAGCCACGUUUACCCAGAAGUUCCUUCAUGUAUAUUUCUAAAGAAAUUUUUACCCAAGACCUUUUGGUUUCUUCUCUGAAGAUGAGAAAGGUCCACCACUCUAUCCACUGCACCAACCCAAAUGAAUGCUAAUCAAUACUUGAACAAACAGUGCCUGCAAGUGGAGAGUAGAAAUAUAUAAGACAUAUUGUGACCAAAGACAACACUUGACUGAUUGGAUAUAAAAGACAAGCAAGAGGGAAAAGUCAAAGACAACACCACAGAUUUUUAAGCCCAAGUGAAUGGAGGGAGUAUACCACUAGCAGAAUAAGGGAUUUGAGAGGUGAAGAAAGUUUCAAAGGAUGAUGAGCCCUCUUCUUAUACAGAUGCACUGGACACAGAAUAAUCCUGUUUGCAAGAAAGAGCCAAUAGAGAACUUGGAAGUGAGCCAGAAGUCUUGCUCACUCCCAGAGAUCCUCACCAUGUUGUUCACUGGCUGCCCAUGCUGAACCAUCCAUCACAAAUUUACCUGAAGAAGCCUAAGCAGCUUUGUGAUCAGUCAUUACUACCAAACUCCGUGAAGCAUUCUGCUCCUAUGUUCCACCUGUUCCUGAAAGAGACUGUCCAUUCUUUAUCCACAACUCCUCCCUCUAUAGUCUGUGAAUUUACAUUACUUCCCUGCCCUCUUAAUCCCCAAACCCCAAUUGUACUCAGUGCUUUGCUGCUCCAGCAUGCAUGUCAAUAAUUUCUCCUUUUAGUAAAUAAUCUUUUUAACUCAA